AACGAACGCUGGCGGCAUGCCUAACACAUGCAAGUCGAACGAGACCUUCGGGUCUAGUGGCGCACGGGUGCGUAACGCGUGGGAACCUGCCCUUAGGUUCGGAAUAACUCCCCGAAAGGAGUUCUAAUACCGGAUAAUGUCUUCGGACCAAAGAUGUAUCGCCUUUGGAUGGGCCCGCGUUGGAUUAGUUAGUUGGUAGGGUAUAAGCCUACCAAGGCGACGAUCCAUAGCUGGUCUGAGAGGAUGAUCAGCCACACUGGGACUGAGACACGGCCCAGACUCGUACGGGAGGAAGGAGUGGGGAAUAUUGGAAAGUGGGCGAAAGCCUGAUCCAGCCAUGCCGGGUGGGUGAUGAAGGCCUUAGGGUUGUAAAGCUCUUUUACCCGGGAUGAUAAUGACAGUACCGGGAGAAUAAGCUCCGGCUAACUCCGUG
rnacentral:rRNA from 1 species